AGUCAAUAUGGGGUUUUGCAGGUAAAUGAAAAUGCCAGAAAACGUCCAUUUGAGUACGUUGACAACAAGUCUUUGUGGAAAAAAAUGAAAACCAAUUCGAAAAGCAAAAACACAUUCUUGGAAUCGAAAUGGCAUCAAGUAAGAGAAGCUUCAGAGAUAAUCCCUCGGCACAAAUUGCACAUGCCUAUCAGGAGAAAUCAGAAGCUUAGCGAUAAAGUUACAACUCUACAAAAGUUGGUUUCACCUUUUGGCAAGACUGACACUGCCU